AAGGGGGCUAGCGUUGCUCGGAAUCACUGGGCGUAAAGGGUGCGUAGGCGGGUCUUUAAGUCAGGGGUGAAAUCCUGGAGCUCAACUCCAGAACUGCCUUUGAUACUGAAGAUCUUGAGUUCGGGAGAGGUGAGUGGAACUGCGAGUGUAGAGGUGAAAUUCGUAGAUAUUCGCAAGAACACCAGUGGCGAAGGCGGCUCACUGGCCCGAUACUGACGCUGAGGCACGAAAGCGUGGGGAGCAAACAGG
rnacentral:rRNA from 1 species